GAUCAUUAAUGAAUUAACUUGAGGGUUGAUGCUGGCUUUACUGCAUGUGCUCGCCCUCAUAAUUCUAUCCCAUACACCUGUGCACAUCUGAAGGUCCAAGGGGAUGCCUUUAUUGGUUGACCGUUGGCCUUCUUCUUACAAACACUUUAUAAAUUAUUGAACGUGAUUGAGCCGAAAGGCCAUAAACUUAUACAACUUUUAACAACGGAUCUCUUGGCUCUCGCAUCGAUGAAGAACGCAGCGAAUUGCGAUAAGUAAUGUGAAUUGCAGAAUUCAGUGAAUCAUCGAAUCUUUGAACGCACCUUGCGCUCCCUGGUAUUCCGGGGAGCACGCCUGUUCGAGUGUCGUGAAUACCCUCAAGCUGGAUGCUUUAUUGCUAUCUUUGGCUUGGAUUUGGACUUUGCCGCAUGCCUUUGAUGGUGGCGGCUGGUCUUAAAUAGAUUAGCUGACCCAUGAUUGUGUUUUUGGUUCUACUCGGCGUGAUAAGUUCUGACCGCCGAGGACAUCUUGCCUUUGGGCGGAUGGCCAGAAAURCCUUGGGUUGCUUCCAAUCUGUCUGUUGACAAUCUUUCAAUUUUGACCUCGAAUCAGGUGGGACUACCCGCUGAACUUAAGCAUAUCAAUAAGCCGGAGGAAA
rnacentral:rRNA from 1 species